UGGGGAAUAUUGGACAAUGGGCGAAAGCCUGAUCCAGCCAUGCCGCGUGUGUGAAGAAGGUCUGCGGAUUGUAAAGCACUUUAAGUUGGGAGGAAGGGCAGUAAGCGAAUACCUUGCUGUUUUGACGUUACCGACAGAAUAAGCACCGGCUAACUCUGUGCCAGCAGCCGCGGUAAUACAGAGGGUGCAAGCGUUAAUCGGAAUUACUGGGCGUAAAGCGCGCGUAGGUGGUUCGUUAAGUUGAAUGUGAAAGCCCCGGGCUCAACCUGGGAACUGCAUCCAAGACUGGCGAGCUAGAGUAGGGCAGAGGGUGGUGGAAUUUCCUGUGUAGCGGUGAAAUGCGUAGAGAUAGGAAGGAACACAAGUGGCGAAGGCGACCACCUGGGCGCAUACUGACACUGAGGUGCGAAAGAGUGGGGAGCAAACAGG
rnacentral:rRNA from 1 species